CUUUUUUGUCUGCUGCGCAAAUUCCUGGCUCCCUAAGCCAGGUAGAAAAGCGGUUUAGUUCGACCCAAUCUGGCACUUUCUCAGAACCUCCCCUGUCUCUGGCACAUUCCUUGUGUUUGGGCAGGACCCAGAGAGCUAGAGAAUUCCUCUCCUCCUUAGCGUGGGUCCUCGUGUUGGCAUGCCAACAGCCCCAAAUAUUUAAAGCAAUCAUGAAAAUGAGCUCAGAGUCCCAUGCCAGCUCCUUGAAAGGAAUUAGGCUAAAAACAGGACAAAGGAAGAGGUGAGGGCAAACGGAAAAUGCCAUGGAAGGCACUGCCCAGCACGGCCAGGGCCCAGAACCCUCCUCACAGCCUUCAUUCAUCUGCAGCCAGGCCCUGUGCUGGGCCCUGGGGAUGCAAAGUUAAAUGCACUGUCACGCCUGCCCUCCAGGAGCUCCCAGUCCAGCCGGGGAGGCUAUACAAACAGACCAUCACGGUACAGGAUGAGGCUUUCUUGGACAGACCUCUACGAGACGUGAGGUCAACGGGGGCAGAUCGGUAUUUCUACCUGGUUUGAGAAGGAAGACUGAUGCCCAAAAGGAAGUCGUGUUCUCACAUGAAAUGCACCAGAGCCCCGAGGACACACUCGUGAGAGAAAUCAUCAGGACGGGUUCUGCAGUUCAAGACAAGACAGCGGCCCCAGUCCCGGUCUGAGAGAGAAGCGAACAGUGCAGCGGGGAGGCGACGUGAGGCGAUGCUCAAUGACACGGGCAGGAGGGGGCCUGCCCGCCCUUCCCAGCCCGCUCCUUCUCGGGCCUGCUGACGUGUCCUCUGCAGCCCUUGGGGACAGUAGCCCAUCUGGGGCAGGGCGCGUCCUCUCCAAACCUUAGUUUCUUCUUCCUAUGAAAAGCCGGCCUUGUAGGGCUGCGGGGAGGGUGAACGUGUUACACAGGAAGAGCUCCUAACACAGUGCCUGGCACACAGUAACCACUCAAAAAAUGCUUUCAACAACGGUAACUAACAGCGGGGGCGCCGGCUGGCUCGGCGGGUAGAGCGUGCCGCUCUUAAUCUCAGGGUCGUGAGUUCAAGCCCCAAGCUGGGCGUAGAGUUUACUUAAAAAAUCGUAACCGUGAAUACUUAUGUCAGGAUGAUUUUAAGCCCUUCACGUACAGGACAAAUCUAAUCCCUCACAGCCCUGUAUGGCAAACUCCCUGAUUGUCUCCACCUCACAGAGGAGGACACUGAGGCACAGGGAGGUUCUGUAAAUAGCCCAUGGUCUGGGAGCUGGUAGAUUGGGGAUUCUGACUCUGGCUCCAGAGGUUAGCUGUGAAUAAAUAAAUGAACUAAUUAAAAAGUU